rnacentral:rRNA from 1 species
AUGCAGUUACAGCUCGAGGAUGAAAGGAUAAGAAAGAAGAAGUGUGAUUUCCAAAGGAGAAAGGAGUUGGAAUGGCGUCAAAAGGCUGCCAGUGUUCAACGAAGUGAUCGGGAUGUUGCUCAAGCUCCUGAAGGUACAAUCCUGAUGCAAACUCGUUUGACGCAAGUGUUUACUCGUGAUGCAGUUAAGGAGAAGAAAGCUGUUUUGAAGAGGAAGAUGUCAGAUCGAAAUCCUGAUGGCACACAGAGGCGUAGCCCACGUGUGAAAGCUGGUUCCCAACCUGGUAACAGCAAAGCUGAUGGGGAUAGUGUUGCUGUGAAGAUUGGUCCAAGCAAACUUGGUGGCUCCCCUAUCCGUCGUAGUCCACGGGUUUUGACAAAUAAGAAGCCUUCUUCGCCUCCUCUUCCAGAGCGCUCUUUGUUGAAAGAAAAUAAUAAGCGUAAAGUUCAUCCUGCGAAGGUGAACAAAGGUGUGAAGAAGCGUGCUCGUGUCGAAGCUGAAGAUGUUGUAUCUGAAAAAGAUGAUAUCGAAGUUGAUUCUGAAGAUGAAUUUGCAGUGCCUGUUAGCGUUAUGAGUCCGGUCAAGCCGGUGGGAGGCAAUGCCGGAAAAGUUGCCUUGGAUGAAGAUACGAUGACUCUUGACAUGGGUGAGGCUAAUAAGAAGCUUCGCAUCACUAGCGAUGGUAUACAUCAAUUAUUUUGGUUCCCUCGUGGUGGUCGUUCUUCGCCAAGGCCGUCAGAGGAUGGAUAUGACGACGCUCUGAUGAAGUUAAAGAUCGGAGCUUGA